AAAAAAUAUCAUUUAAUUUUAAAUAUUCUUGUCAAAUAAGUGCUCUAUAAAGAACUCGAAGAUUGUUAUACAUAUUGCUAGAGUUGUAAGAAAAUCUUGAAAGAAAAAUGGCAACGCUGAUUUGUCAAUCUCUUUUAUUGGGACUUUUAUGCAUUGCGUUGGUUUUGGCUUCAGCAGGAGCAACACCAGAUUUGAAGGAUCCUACUAGGGCUUCUGCAUGCACUAGCAAUCCUGGAUGCGCAAGUUGUAACGAUUAUUGCAAGCUUAGGGGAUAUAUAGAUGGAGUUUGUUAUGGAACGAUUUGUUGUUGUUCUUAAAGAUAAGUCAUAGAUAUUAUGCAAUUAAGACCAGCAAAGUAUUACUUCAAAAAUCCAGAAUCUAUGAGAAGCUAAAAUAAAAAAGAAAUUAUAUAUGCAAGUAAAAAGUGUUAGUAAGAGUUGUUUCAAAUAAAAAUAAUAUGUACCUGAGUAAAAAAUUACUGAUAUUCAACAAUCAUCAACAUAUGAGCAAUAUAUUGAUAAGUCUUAAUUCUUCAUUCUA